CUUUAAAAACCUUGAAAAUUCCCCAAUAGACUACGAACAUUUCUGGUUAGUUUAGAUGGGAUAUCUGAAAUACCAUUUUAAAUGGAAGCCACUGAAGCAGUGAUCUUGGCUUACACUCUAAGCGUUCAAAGCGGCUUCAUUCUUUGGCGUAGGAAAGAGAACACAGGCUUUGGGAUAGCUCAGGGAUUUGUCAAGUUAGUGAAGCUGGAACUUUCCUCUCUGUUAACUGAAAUGAAAAGACCUGAAUGAUUUCUGGAUGCCUCCCAGGGGUCUGGACUUCAUGUUGGCGGCACUUCUGAGUUUGUAGGACUUUGUGGGCAUGUGAUUUAGUGAUUAGCAAUGACAGUGCCUUUCCAUACUGCCAUUUCCAGGGCUGGCCCUGGAAAUAAACAGCACCACUCAACUAAUAGCUAUAAAUGAAUCCCAGCCAUUUGGGAGGCUGAGGCAGGAGGAUUGCAAGUUUGAGGCCAGUCUGGGAGAUACUGUCUCAGAAUCGAAAUAAAAUAAAGAUGGUUAGGGAUGUAGCUCAGUGUUAGAGUGCUUGCCUAGCAUGCACAAAGCCCUGAGUUUGAUCCCCUGCAU
rnacentral:lncRNA from 1 species